rnacentral:sRNA from 1 species
CAAAUCAGUUACCCGCAGUUACUUCUGGGUCCACUGUCACGUUUGACAUUGAAGCCGUGACUCUAGGAACCACCAGUAAUAAUGAAGGUGGACACUUCAAGCUUCGAUCGCUGUGUCAGCCAGGCUAGAGUGCAGUGACACAAUCAUAGCUCACUACAGCUCCCUCUGUGAGAGUUGUGAGACUUUGGAGGAUAGGACUGAAUGCUUUAAUCAUCUUCGAUUAAAUUAAAUCAUCCCCAGCACC